UUGGAAUUAAAAUUGGUGUCG
rnacentral:piRNA from 1 species